GGUGGCUCAGUGGUAGAGUGCUUGCCUCCCAAGCUUGAAGCCCUGGGUUCAAUUCCUCAGCACCA
rnacentral:tRNA from 1 species